GUCAUAUGGACUAUAACAUAGGUAACAUAUUAUUAUUAUAUACAGAAGACUAUCAUGGCUCCUGUGCAAGGAUGACACGCAGAUUUGUGUGAUAGUCACCAUAAUU